rnacentral:rRNA from 1 species
UACGAACUGUGCGAACGUUAUUCGGAAUCACUGGGCUUACAGGGUGCGUAGGUGGCCGGACAAGUCAGGUGUGAAAUCCCUCAGCUCAACUGAGGAACUGCGCUUGAAACUAGUUUGGUCUAGAGUGAGCUAGGGGUGCUUGGGACGUGCCAGUGGAGCGGUGAAAUGUGUUGAUAUUGGCAGGAACACCGGAGCGAAAGGAAGCACUGGGCGUUAACUGACACUGAGGCACGAAAGCCA